rnacentral:lncRNA from 1 species
GAAUUUGUUGAAUAUUUCAGUAAAUUAAAUAGGAACGAUUUAUCUACAAGUAACUAUAGAAUAUUAACUGCACCUCUCAUUGGCUACAUUGUAUUAAUGUCUAAAAUCAUGCUUAGGAAAGGUCUUCUAAAAACACGUAGAAGAUGCGUAUUAUGAAGAACUGUGCCUGGAUUUAUUCGAUUUGCACAAAAAUAAACAUAUUUUAACUACAGCUUCCAAAAGUUUUUUGAAGUCCUCUUAUGAAUACUUAAGUCCACUUAUUAGUGAGCAGCUCUUGUGAGAAGGCUGCUAUCCCAGAAAAAUCCUCAUACAUUAUUUUCUAUCCCCAAAUCAUAUCUCUUUAAAAAAUGUAGGUUAAUCUUAUUACAUUUACAAUUGUUUCUAUUUGCCGGUCAAGCUCUUUUAUUCCUGGUAAGAAAUUAUUUAAAGGUAAAGAUUAUUUUUAAAAAAUUCUCCUGAAUCCUAUGGAUGGAACUGAGUCAGAUUGGACUGAACGGACCAAAUGCUCAUACAGACAGAGUAAGCUCCCUGAGAAUUCUGGCUCUAUCAGAUGUUCUUCCCUAACAUUUGUGUGUGUGGUCCUAAUUUGAGAUUUUUCAAUUGGUUUUAAUUUCCACCACUCUGGACAUCCAGAUUCUGACUGUGCCUAGCAGAGAAAGUGCCAACAUUCCAUGAGAACAACGGUCUCUAUGGAAUUUUUGACUUGACCAGAGCAGGAAGAACAGGAAACGUUAUUUUUAAAAGAACCAUUUUUCACACUGCUGAUGUCUGGAGAAUGAAGAUAAGCUUUGAGCUUACUUCCAAAUCUUUGGGUGCUCCUCCAAGCAUGCUCUAAAUGGGGUGUGAAACAUAGCAUGCUGGACUGGGAUUGGACAGUGAUCAAGAGGAAACAGAAUUGGCAGUGGGGCUUUUUCUCGUUUAGUUUUCAGGAUGGUGGAGUGCUUAAUGGAAACAUGACAUGGAAGUGGGUGCUGGGGCAGGAGCUGAGUUGUGGAAGAGACUGUGGAUGGUUAAGAAAUUGUUAUUGA